GUUUAAGUAUUAAUCAGUUUGGAAUGCCGAGCAAACCCAUUUAGAGAAAAAUUUUAAGGCAUUUUAACUAGUUUGGGUGGUUAUUAGUAAAUGAAAGAAUAUGAAUUUGUAUAUGGCCAACUCAAAUUGUUGUACAGUUUGCUCAUAUACACGACUAUCUAUGGCAAUAAGUAUUAAUACCACUACCUCGUUAGCAAAAUACUUUUGUCAAGAACUC